rnacentral:rRNA from 1 species
CCCUUAGAUGUUCUGGGUCGCACGCGCGCUACACUGAUGCAUUCAACGAGUUUUUCCUGGUCCGAGAGGAAUGGGUAACCUUUUGAAAGUGCAUCGUGCUAGGGAUAGACUAUUGCAAUUAUUGGUCUUCAACGAGGAAUUCCUAGUAGACGUAGUUCAUCAGACUGCAUCGAUUACGUCCCUGCCCUUUGUACACACCGCCCGUCGCUCCUACCGAUUGGAUGAUCCGGUGAGCUAUUCGGACCUUCGCUUCGUCGAUUUUCGGCUUUGUGAGGGAAAGUCUCGCGAACCUUAUCAUCUAGAGGAAGGAGAAGUCGUAACA